AGUGAACGCUGGCGGUAGGCCUAACACAUGCAAGUCGAACGGCAGCACAGUAAGAGCUUGCUCUUACGGGUGGCGAGUGGCGGACGGGUGAGGAAUACAUCGGAAUCUACUUUUUCGUGGGGGCUAACGCAGGGAAACUUACGCUAAUACCGCAUACAACCUCCGGGGGAAGGCAGGGGAUCUUUGAACUUGGUGGGAUGGAAUAAGCCGAUGUCGGAUUAGCUAGUUGGCGGGUUAAAGGCCCACCAAGGCGACGAUCGGUAGCUGGUCUGAGAGGAUGAUCAGCCAGACUGGAACUGAGACACGGUCCAGACUCCUACGGGAGGACGCAGUGGGGAAUAUUGGACAAUGGGGGCAAGCCUGAUCCAGCCAUACCGCGUGGGUGAAGAAGGCGUUCGGGUUGUAAAGCCCUUUUGUUGGGAAAGAAAAGCAGCAGGUUAAUACCCCGCUGUUCUGACGGUACCCAAAGAAUAAGCACCGGCUAACUUCGUG
rnacentral:rRNA from 1 species